GACAGAGGGUGCAAACGUUGUUCGGAAUUACUGGGCGUAAAGCGCGUGUAGGCGGCUCUGCAAGUCGGAUGUGAAAUCCCACGGCUCAACCAUGGAAGUGCAUUCGAAACUGCAGGGCUAGAGUCCUGGAGAGGAAGGUGGAAUGCUUGGUGUAGAGGUGAAAUUCGUAGAUAUCAAGCGGAACACCGGUGGCGAAGGCGGCCUUCUGGACAGUGACUGACGCUGAGACGCGAGAGCGUGGGGAGCAAACAGG
rnacentral:rRNA from 1 species